GCUGGCGGCAGGCCUAACACAUGCAAGUCGAACGGUAACAGAAAGCAGCUUGCUGCUUUGCUGACGAGUGGCGGACGGGUGAGUAAUGUCUGGGAAACUGCCCGAUGGAGGGGGAUAACUACUGGAAACGGUAGCUAAUACCGCAUAACGUCGCAAGACCAAAGAGGGGGACCUUCGGGCCUCUUGCCAUCGGAUGUGCCCAGAUGGGAUUAGCUAGUAGGUGGGGUAAAGGCUCACCUAGGCGACGAUCCCUAGCUGGUCUGAGAGGAUGACCAGCCACACUGGAACUGAGACACGGUCCAGACUCCUACGGGAGGCAGCAGUGGGGAAUAUUGCACAAUGGGCGCAAGCCUGAUGCAGCCAUGCCGCGUGUAUGAAGAAGGCCUUCGGGUUGUAAAGUACUUUCAGCGGGGAGGAAGGGAGUAAAGUUAAUACCUUUGCUCAUUGACGUUACCCGCAGAAGAAGCACCGGCUAACUCCGUGCCAGCAGCCGCGGUAAUACGGAAGGUGCAAGCGUUAAUCGGAAUUACUGGGCGUAAAGCGCACGCAGGCGGUUUGUUAAGUCAGAUGUGAAAUCCCCGGGCUCAACCUGGGAACUGCAUCUGAUACUGGCAAGCUUGAGUCUCGUAGAGGGGGGUAGAAUUCCAGGUGUAGCGGUGAAAUGCGUAGAGAUCUGGAGGAAUACCGGUGGCGAAGGCGGCCCCCUGGACGAAGACUGACGCUCAGGUGCGAAAGCGUGGGGAGCAAACAGGAUUAGAUACCCUGGUAGUCCACGCCGUAAACGAUGUCGACUUGGAGGUUGUGCCCUUGAGGCGUGGCUUCCGGAGCUAACGCGUUAAGUCGACCGCCUGGGGAGUACGGCCGCAAGGUUAAAACUCAAAUGAAUUGACGGGGGCCCGCACAAGCGGUGGAGCAUGUGGUUUAAUUCGAUGCAACGCGAAGAACCUUACCUGGUCUUGACAUCCACGGAAGUUUUCAGAGAUGAGAAUGUGCCUUCGGGAACCGUGAGACAGGUGCUGCAUGGCUGUCGUCAGCUCGUGUUGUGAAAUGUUGGGUUAAGUCCCGCAACGAGCGCAACCCUUAUCCUUUGUUGCCAGCGGUCCGGCCGGGAACUCAAAGGAGACUGCCAGUGAUAAACUGGAGGAAGGUGGGGAUGACGUCAAGUCAUCAUGGCCCUUACGACCAGGGCUACACACGUGCUACAAUGGCGCAUACAAAGAGAAGCGACCUCGCGAGAGCAAGCGGACCUCAUAAAGUGCGUCGUAGUCCGGAUUGGAGUCUGCAACUCGACUCCAUGAAGUCGGAAUCGCUAGUAAUCGUGGAUCAGAAUGCCACGGUGAAUACGUUCCCGGGCCUUGUACACACCGCCCGUCACACCAUGGGAGUGGGUUGCAAAAGAAGUAAAUAGCUUAACCUUCGGGAGGGCGCUUACCACUUUGUGAC
rnacentral:rRNA from 1 species